UACGAAGGGGGCUAGCGUUGCUCGGAAUCACUGGGCGUAAAGGGCGCGUAGGCGGCCAUUUAAGUCGGGGGUGAAAGCCUGUGGCUCAACCACAGAACUGCCUUCGAUACUGGAUGGCUUGAGACCGGAAGAGGUAAGUGGAACUGCGAGUGUAGAGGUGAAAUUCGUAGAUAUUCGCAAGAACACCAGUGGCGAAGGCGGCUUACUGGUCCGGAUCUGACGCUGAGGCGCGAAAGCGUGGGGAGCAAACAGG
rnacentral:rRNA from 1 species